rnacentral:rRNA from 1 species
AGACCCGAAACCCGGUGAUCUAGCCAUGGGCAGGUUGAAGGUUGGGUAACACUAACUGGAGGACCGAACCGACUAAUGUUGAAAAAUUAGCGGAUGACCUGUGGCUGGGGGUGAAAGGCCAAUCAAACCGGGAGAUAGCUGGUUCUCCCCGAAAGCUAUUUAGGUAGCGCCUCGUGAAUUCAUCUCCGGGGGUAGAGCACUGUUUCGGCUAGGGGGCCAUCCCGGCUUACCAACCCGAUGCAAACUGCGAAUACCGGAGAAUGUUAUCACGGGAGACACACGGCGGGUGCUAACGUCCGUCGUGAAGAGGGAAACAACCCAGACCGCCAGCUAAGGUCCCAAAGUCAUGGUUAAGUGGGAAACGAUGUGGGAAGGCCCAGACAGCCAGGAUGUUGGCUUAGAAGCAGCCAUCAUUUAAAGAAAGCGUAAUAGCUCACUGGUCGAGUCGGCCUGCGCGGAAGAUGUAACGGGGCUAAACCAUGCACCGAAGCUGCGGCAGCGACGCUGAUGCGUUGUUGGGUAGGGGAGCGUUCUGUAAGCCUGUGAAGGUGGCCUGUGAGGGUUGCUGGAGGUAUCAGAAGUGCGAAUGCUGACAUAAGUAACGAUAAAGCGGGUGAAAAGCCCGCUCGCCGGAAGACCAAGGGUUCCUGUCCAACGUUAAUCGGGGCAGGGUGAGUCGACCCCUAAGGCGAGGCCGAAAGGCGUAGUCGAUGGGAAACGGGUUAAUAUUCCCGUACUUGGUGUUACUGCGAAGGGGGGACGGAGAAGGCUAUGUUGGCCGGGCGACGGUUGUCCCGGUUUAAGCGUGUAGGUGUGUGUUCCAGGUAAAUCCGGUUCACUUUAACACUGAGGCGUGAUGACGAGGCACUACGGUGCUGAAGCAACAAAUGCCCUGCUUCCAGGAAAAGCCUCUAAGCAUCAGGUAACAUCAAAUCGUACCCCAAACCGACACAGGUGGUCAGGUAGAGAAUACCAAGGCGCUUGAGAGAACUCGGGUGAAGGAACUAGGCAAAAUGGUGCCGUAACUUCGGGAGAAGGCACGCUGACACGUAGGUGAAGUGAUUUACUCAUGGAGCUGAAGUCAGUCGAAGAUACCAGCUGGCUGCAACUGUUUAUUAAAAACACAGCACUGUGCAAACACGAAAGUGGACGUAUACGGUGUGACGCCUGCCCGGUGCCGGAAGGUUAAUUGAUGGGGUCAGCGCAAGCGAAGCUCCUGAUCGAAGCCCCGGUAAACGGCGGCCGUAACUAUAACGGUCCUAAGGUAGCGAAAUUCCUUGUCGGGUAAGUUCCGACCUGCACGAAUGGCGUAAUGAUGGCCAGGCUGUCUCCACCCGAGACUCAGUGAAAUUGAACUCGCUGUGAAGAUGCAGUGUACCCGCGGCAAGACGGAAAGACCCCGUGAACCUUUACUAUAGCUUGACACUGAACAUUGAGCCUUGAUGUGUAGGAUAGGUGGGAGGCUUUGAAGUGUGGACGCCAGUCUGCAUGGAGCCGGCCUUGAAAUACCACCCUUUAAUGUUUGAUGUUCUAACGUGGACCCGUGAUCCGGGUUGCGGACAGUGUCUGGUGGGUAGUUUGACUGGGGCGGUCUCCUCCUAAAGAGUAACGGAGGAGCACGAAGGUUGGCUAAUCCUGGUCGGACAUCAGGAGGUUAGUGCAAUGGCAUAAGCCAGCUUGACUGCGAGCGUGACGGCGCGAGCAGGUGCGAAAGCAGGUCAUAGUGAUCCGGUGGUUCUGAAUGGAAGGGCCAUCGCUCAACGGAUAAAAGGUACUCCGGGGAUAACAGGCUGAUACCGCCCAAGAGUUCAUAUCGACGGCGGUGUUUGGCACCUCGAUGUCGGCUCAUCACAUCCUGGGGCUGAAGUAGGUCCCAAGGGUAUGGCUGUUCGCCAUUUAAAGUGGUACGCGAGCUGGGUUUAGAACGUCGUGAGACAGUUCGGUCCCUAUCUGCCGUGGGCGCUGGAGAACUGAGGGGGGCUGCUCCUAGUACGAGAGGACCGGAGUGGACGCAUCACUGGUGUUCGGGUUGUCAUGCCAAUGGCACUGCCCGGUAGCUAAAUGCGGAAGAGAUAAGUGCUGAAAGCAUCUAAGCACGAAACUUGCCCCGAGAUGAGUUCUCCCUG